AGCUCGUUGCGGCUCUGGUACGGAGCAGUCGUGCGCUACUGAGCAGCACAUUCAACGCCCGCUGGCUUCGCGCGUGUGCUGCACAAGCCAGAGCGCGCGGACGCAGCGGCGAACCGGCGGACGCACGUGCACGAGCACAGCGAUCACGCGCGCCGUCUCAGCACCGCAGCGAGCAGCCAUGAGCGGCCGGCUUAACCUCAUCUGUGCGUUCGUCUUGGUCGCCCUCCUCGAGUCAGCCUACGGAGGAGUCAUGCGGAAAAGGAGAGACACCUUCCAGCACGGUCUCCAGAUGUCGUCGUCGUCGUCUUCGCACUCAUCGCCGUCGCGGUCGUCGUCAUCGUCAGCAGCGACGUCAAUCUUCUCAUCGAUAAUGGAGGGCAGAAGGCCGCAGGCCAAGGCCGCGGCGAGAGACGCAAGCGCGUCGAACCACGCACGGCGCCACCAGCACAGGCCGCGGUGCCGCGAUCACCCGCACCAGGGAUUCUACCCGCAGCACCAGCACCGGCACCAGCAGCAGCACCAGAGGCACAGGUGCAACCACAGGACGCCGCAGCAAACCUUGCACUCGUGGAAUCGCCCGUCUCUCAACGGCAGGGGACCCAUUUAAGCGGCGGCGGCGGCGGCACCGACUGCUCCACACCCACACGGCAGCGGGGAUUUCGUGACGAGCGAACAGGAGGCAGCAGACACGCGGAGCGCAAGGUCCUGGUGAUGCGCGUGCGAUGAAGCGUGACAAAAACAACAACAAAAGAAGAAAAAUUUCAACCACCAAACAACCGUCAACGGGGGCAAUAAAAACCAAACGCUUAUAGAAAAAAUAAAAAAUAAAACGGCAGGCACCAGAGAGCAUUUUUGUGAGGCUGCGCAUCAACUCGCAGACGCCACGAUGCUUUCCGACUGUGGAUCGUUCCUCUCUCUACGGUGUGCCAGCGAGCGAACUAGUGAGUGAGGGACUGCGCAGGCGAGUGAGCUGGCGGGUGGGCUGAAGGAUUCUGCGCGCUGCGGUUUGGAGGAGAGCACCGUCAAGUACCGUGGGGCUCUCUCCCCGCCCGCGAGUGUUCCGGGCAGAACGUCAACGCGUCCCAGAGCGGACGCCAAAUGAAGCGCCCCCCCCCCCCACACCACCACACCGCGUUUGCCGACCCCCUCCUUCGCCACGCUACUCAAGCUCCUCCAAACUCUCCCAGCUUCUUCCGCCAGCGGGACCGCUCGAGUUCAAACCCCGCGCAUUUCUCGAACAUUUUUCAAAACCGUAAACCACCAUCUCCUGUCCCCCCACCCCAGCCCCCUGCCUCACAAAGCCUCCACCCCUGCCACCCCACCCUCCUUCCCCCCCCACCCUCUCUUAAUUGAGAACAAAUUAAACUGGAACACAGCGUCCUGCUGCCGGGCUUCUGUGGGGAGCGUAGGUGAAUAGCUGUCACAAAGGGACCCUGGUGUGAAAUGCUGGGGCGUGAACGCUGUCGAACGAAUGCGGUGUGUGUGGAGAGGCACCGCGGUCGCUGUGGCUUGGGGGGGUUGGAGGGCCACGGAAGCGCUCUAGUUUUGCAAGUGUCCAGUGGGACUGGCACCGUCUCGCCACCGUUGCUUUAGUGUUUAUAGACGAAUGUUGUAACCUCUCCUUCUCACGUGUUUUUUUUUUGCUGCUGGUCAAGUAUGAAGUGCUGCCUGUCUAUCGGCUGCUACGUAAAAAAAAUAUAUAAAAUUAAUAUUAUUUUUAUUAUCUUUUUUUGUUUCACUUUUUUUUAUAGAUUUAAGAUGGCAUUUUUACCAGGUAUGAAGCAACAGUAUUUAACUUUGUAAUUUGUUUCGUUCAGUUUCUCUCAUUUGUUCCUGCAUUAAAAUGUUGUUAUACGGACAUUUUUUACGAAAGAUGUUUGUUAAAAUGUUUAUCAUUUUAAUGCUCACUGUAAAUAAAACUUUGGAUAAUAGACCCAACUGA